ACGAAGGUCCCAAGCGUUGUUCGGAAUAACUGGGCGUAAAGCGUGUGUAGGCCGCGCGGAAAGUCGGAUGUGAAAGCCCAAGGCUCAACCUUGGAACUGCAUCCGAUACUCCCGUGCUAGAGUAAUGGAGAGGUAAGUGGAAUUCUCGGUGUAGCAGUGAAAUGCGUAGAUAUCGAGAGGAACAUCAAUGGCGAAGGCAACUUACUGGACAUUCACUGACGCUCAGACACGAAGGCUAGGGUAGCGAAAGGG
rnacentral:rRNA from 1 species